rnacentral:lncRNA from 1 species
UAUUAUCAAGCAUAGUUGGGAUCUUAAAGACGUCGGAGAGCGUUCACACUAUCAACCACCACAACUCGGUAUUUUAAGACGAUAAAUGUUUUGAGCUAUGGCAUGUAUAGGGACUUGGUCAUUUCGAUUGUAUAUUCUUAAGAUAUGACCAAAAGAUGAUAUGUAAAUAUUUGAUGAUGAAUAGUUAUUAAAAUGGCUAAGUAUGAAG